AUUGAACGCUGGCGGCAGGCCUAACACAUGCAAGUCGAACGGUAGCACAGAGAGCUUGCUCUCGGGUGACGAGUGGCGGACGGGUGAGUAAUGUCUGGGAAACUGCCUGAUGGAGGGGGAUAACUACUGGAAACGGUAGCUAAUACCGCAUAACGUCGCAAGACCAAAGAGGGGGACCUUCGGGCCUCUUGCCAUCAGAUGUGCCCAGAUGGGAUUAGCUAGUAGGUGGGGUAACGGCUCACCUAGGCGACGAUCCCUAGCUGGUCUGAGAGGAUGACCAGCCACACUGGAACUGAGACACGGUCCAGACUCCUACGGGAGGCAGCAGUGGGGAAUAUUGCACAAUGGGCGCAAGCCUGAUGCAGCCAUGCCGCGUGUAUGAAGAAGGCCUUCGGGUUGUAAAGUACUUUCAGCGGGGAGGAAGGUGUUGUGGUUAAUAACCACAGCAAUUGACGUUACCCGCAGAAGAAGCACCGGCUAACUCCGUGCCAGCAGCCGCCGCGG
rnacentral:rRNA from 1 species